AGAGCCGGCUGGGCGCCCCCGGAGCCGGGUCCCUCGCCGACGCCGCGCGUGUCCUGCCGGCGCGGGGCGGAGGCUGUGCUGAGUGAGGAGUGGGGCGCAGCAGACGGAGCUCUGCGUCCCCGGGACAGCGAGUUAGGAUUGGCCUCUCUGCGCCAGGGCGUGCUCACCAGGGGGAGAGGGCGAUAGCCGGGAUCGGAUCACCGGGAUCGGCCGGCGUGCCCCAGCGCCUGAUGGAGGGAGCACCCCCGGGGACGUGUCCUGUGCGCGGCCCAGACCCGAAGCCCCGGCGUCGUGCCCGCGUUUUACGGGGCCAUGGACAAAACUUCCUUGUUGGUAAUCAGCUGAGCCUGGCCGACGUGAUUCUACUCCAAACCAUUUGGCCCUGGAAGAGAAAAUUCCUAACAGCCUAGCUGCGUUUCCUUUCCUCCAGCCCACAGGGAACUGAGAGGAAGGGAUCUGGUGCUGACUGAGUGCCUGCUUGUUCCAGAUGUCUGCCAGCCCUGAGCUGCCUUCACUCACUUGCCCCAAGUCCACACCGCGACUGAGGAGGCAGCCUUCACUGUCCUCAUUAUACAGGGACAACCCCAGGCCUGGACACGUGACACAGUCUGAUCAGGAGUACACGGUGAGAUUAAGUAACAUUGCUCCAAUUAAGAGAGUCCUUGAACCUGGCAGCCAGAAGAAGCCUCCCGCUGGUGACGUGUGCGUGAGAACCAUCUACAGCGUCUUUAUGCUGUAAAUAACAAGUCGUCUGUGAGUGGGAGCUGGUCCCCAAGGUGGCUGUGUCCACAGUGGUGUCUUCAUUGAUCCCAAUGCUGUUGUCCUGCUGUGUGUUCAGCUGGGUCAUAAAUCGGGUCUUUCCUCUCAGGAGAUCCUUCCUUAAAAUAUCACCCUGUUUUUGUCCAGCCAAUAAUUGUUACGGGCCGUGUUCUGGCACACAUUUUUGAGGAGGCUGGGAUUUGAGUUAGGCUGGGCGGGGUCCUCCUUUCCUGUAGUUAGUCCUGACGAUGGGGAUGCAGGGUCUCACUUAGCUGAGCACCGUUCUCCUCUGUUCAUACCCGAACCUCUGCAGGCUCCCCCGGGUGUGCAGUGUCUCGUAACUGUGCACUGUGUUGUGAGGGACUGUCCUCUGACCUAGAGAAAGUCAGUGGCUGUACCAACAGCAGCCAGUAUUCUCCACAAUAAAGCAUUUACCAGUUGUUGUCCUGUUGCUAGAAUUUUUUAAAAUUAAAUACAGAAUACAAGCUGGGCGUGGUGGCACAUGCCUAUAAUUCCAGCACUUGGGAGGCUGAGGCAGGAGGAUCGUUGUGAGUUCGAGACCAGCCUGGGCUACAAAGUGAGCUCAAGGCCAGCCGGAACUACAUAGCCAGACCCUGUCUGAAAAAGACAAAAAAACAAAAAACAAAAAAC
rnacentral:lncRNA from 1 species